AGCCCCGGCGGCGCGGGCUCCGGUGAAAGUUGCCCGGCGGGGAGCACUAAAGCCGGGCCCUCCGCUGCUCCAGGCGGCGGAGUCCGCUCACGUCUGACCGCGCGGUCUCUUCGCCGCCGCCGUCCGCUCCCAGCCCGUGGCCCGCACAGCCGGUCCGAGGAGACGCUCGCGGCAGAGGCCGGAGUCCCCGGGCUCUCUGGAAGCGCUCCCGGGAUCGCCGCUCCGGCUCCUCUUCUGCGGCCGAGCCCGUCUCACGAUUUUCUAGAGAAAGCCGAACGGCCGCGCGGGGUACUUUACCGCAGGAAAAACCUGUAGAGAAUAAUUCGCUGUCAUUCAAGGUAAACCAUGGCAGCUGUCUGAGCAGCAAUGGGGACUGCUGAAACCCAUCCAGCUGGUACUCUGCGAGUCAGACUCAUCGCUUGCGAGGCCUCCCUGUGACAGCUCCCAUAUUUUGACAUCAUCCAUAUACUUUCUUGCUUUGUGGGACUCAAUUUAUGAUUGAAAGGUGAUGAUCAAAGAAAGGCUAGGCAUCUCUUCAAACAUGCCAAAGGAGAGUUAAAAGAUGCCCGAAUGUUGUGCCUAGUCAUGGAUAUUUCAAGAGAUUUAAGGCUUCUGCUGGAAUUCAGAAUGUCUGGACCAAAAGAACUUCAGACAGCAAGCAGCUGAAUUCACCAAUGAUGAACAGUAGUCUUUCAAAAUCACAUAAAUUUUGGAGUACGUAAGAAGAACAAAAAUGAACAAGUGUUUCCAUUUGUCCCAAAAGGAAAAAGGUACAUCCUACAUACUAUAGACUGUAGUCUUGUGGAAAAGUUUAGCAAACAAAUCACUUGUCUAUAUUUGUACAAGCUAGAGGUAACUAAAUUUGACAGUGGAUCCAAUUAAUUAAAAACUAUCCUGAAGUAACUUCAUUUCCUUUUUUGAUCCAGUUAUAAGAUUGAAAGAAUGGUCAACAACACUACUGAAAUUCAGCAAGACACUUAAUCUUUUUUGUUUGUUUGUUUCAUUAUUCCUUUGAAUAAGAGGGAAAUACAGGUUAAAUGAUGAUGCAAUUAGGUAUAGGUGUUGAGCACCGAUCCCUGAUGCCUAUUUAUUUAAAGACAAAUCUUCCUAUUUAAGGCCUAAGUAACAAUAAGAAAAAAUUACAGGGGAAAUCGUUCUCAAUGAAAUCAGAUUUUAGAAAGAAAUGGAGAAAAAAUGCAUAGGAAGGGAAGUCAACCUGAGGAGGAUGAGAGUGGUGUGGCUGGGACUGUGAAUUGCGACCAUGUCCCAGCUGGGGCUUCUACUCUUUCACUGAGGUCUUCAAUAAUGGCAUGUAUGUCUCAUUUUCUGGCUUCUGCCUUCUCUGUUGCUUACAGCUCUCUCCUGCUAGAUUCAUCCCUAGCACUGGUCCCUCUCGGCCCAGACUCCAAACUAAUCCUGUCCAACAAACUUAUUAGCAAGCUGUCACCCCUAGAUUCAGAUCAAGAAAUGCUGUCCCUGUGCCCCCAUGACCUUGCCCAGCAGAAGCUCUUCUUAGCCCCUGUUUGACAGGACUGGGUUUCCAUUGUGUUUCCUGUCCUAUUUUUGCUAAUUCCUCUUCCAGGGAUCAAGUUUCUCUUUGCACAUUUUAAAUAAUUGUAGCCCUUGGGAGAGCUCUCCUGGACCUCAGCUCCUUUUCUGUCAGAUUCUCAGUUUCUUCCAUCAUAACCCCCCAGAAUAAGAUUUCAUUAUAUGUUUUUGAAAAUAUGAGGGUCAUCGGUGACCAACUUCAUGGCUAAAUUGGUCAUGUCUUUGGCUUUUGUACCUGGCUUACUCCUCCAAGUACAGCAUUCCUCUGCUUACACUGCCUUCUACCCUUCUGGUCAUGACCCUAAAAGUCAUUUCAGGUCCUGGCUUCUUCAUUGACCUAAGCUACUCUGGGGUGCUAUAAGGAAGAUCAUGUCUUGUAUCCCAAUCCUCGGAUAUGACUAACAGCAGGCAUGGUGCUCACACUUGUAGGUUACAGUGAACUGUGGGACAAAAUCAGGAUUCAGAAAAAUUUCAACAAGUAGAAGUUAACAGGAAAUGUCCUGAUCUGGAUCAACACACCCAUUUGCUCCAGUGAAUGAGAAAUAUGUAGCUUUGUGGCAUCUCCUGUUAAGAGGACUUUUGGAUUUUUAGUGCAUUUUAUUAAAAAGUUAUCUCAGUGUGAGUCAUUAGUUUGUGAAGUGACUGCCAAAAAAAGCUUAGAAUGAGCUCAGAAUGCAUUAAUACAAGUAUAGAAGUUGGAAGUGGAAAGUGAUAGCCCCACUUUGUGCUGUGCUGGUUAGCCACACCUGGAAGCUACAUGUUCAGGGAACUAUAAAUAAUUUUGGACAUAGAAGUAAGAUUCAGGAUGGUGAUGAGAUGAAAAGAUUGCCAAAAUGAGAAUUUAUUGAGGAGCUAGAAAAUGAUUGGCUUUCAGGAGAGGUUGGGGGCUAGAAAAUGUUUUCAAAUGUAAUGAAGAACUAUUACGUGGGAAACUUGUUUGUAUGAUCCUAAGGAGUUGACACUAGGGCAAUUGAGUGGGAUAUUUAAACAAAAACUUUCCAAAAGUCAAACUGGCUCUCACAUAAAAAAAAGCUGUUUUGCAAUUAGAGGACAUUUCUGCCAUUGGAGGUUAUUUAAGCACAGAUCAGAUGACCACUUGGUCAGGAUAUGGUAGAGAAAAGUCAAACAUCAGGGGGCUUUGCAGUUAUGUGACCUUUACAGGUCCUUCCAAAUUCAGGCAUUCUGUGAUUCUAGGUAUGUCUUUUAAAAACAGAUCUCCAUUUGAAGAGUAGGAACUUCUGCUUAAUGCAUAUCAACUCUACAAAGAUAUUUCAAAUAAAUUACCUCAUUUAUUAUGCACAACAAUCCCAUGUGAUGGAUAUUAUUAUUUUAAUUUUCAGAGGAGGAUAUUAUGGUUAGAGAGAUUAAAUAUUUUCUUUCAGAUCACACCUAUAAGAAAGGUGGGAUCUAGGGCGAGCCUAGAUCCUUGUCCUAUGAAAGGAUUCAGUUCAUUAAAACUUCUAAAACUUUGAAGUCUUAUGAAGGUAGUUCUGUGGACUUUAACCUUGAAAUAUGCUAUGAAGGAAAGAGACCUAUCCUGGAAUGCAAGAGACUUGGUAUUUAGAGCCAAUUUUGCCAAAAACAUGGUUUACCACCUGGUCUUGGUUUCCUUGAUAGUAAAAUUGGGGUAUUGAGUAGAUGAUAUCAAAGGCUCUGUCUAGAUUUAACAUUUUAUAGUUUUAAAAUGGUUAGUUAAGAUAAUUAAAUUGAAAUGCACAUCUUUAUUUUCCCAAAAUACUUUGUAAGGUUUGAACACGGUUCUCCUAUAUCCUUAACCAUAUGGAGUCUUGAUACUAUAGAACUUGACCCCUAGACCACAUUCUCCAAGACUCCCAUUUCCUUGCUAAGCCAGCUUACAAUAACAAACACAGCAAAGAUUAUCCAAGAUAGUUGUGUUCACCAACAUCCCAUGUGUUCCUUUCCCAGACUUCCUUGUAGUUAUAUUCGAGCUUAUAUUUCCAGCUCAGGCUGAAGGUCUAUGAAGAAAGACAUGGUUAAAAGUAGGCACGUCUCUUCCAUGUCUCUCUUCUGCCUUGGCUGAGCUGGUAGCAUCACGAUAAGGAAAGUCUAGAUCCCCGAGUCCGUGGAUAGAGACGUUACCAAAUGCUUUCAAUAUUGAGUGGGUGACAUACAACAUUUACUGAGACAAGUCACUGAAGUUUUUAGAUUUUAUUUGUUACCACAGUUUAGUAUGACAGAUGCAUAUACUUUGCAUUGAUUCCCAGAAAUGUAAAUAAACAAAAUGUACCAAUUAAAAGGCAAAGGUUUUCAGAUUGGAUUUAAAGGGCUGACCUAACUGCUGGAUAUAAAGAACCCAAGUUAAAUAUAAAGGCACAUGUAGAGUAAAAGAAUAGAAAGAGAUUAGCCUUACUACCCCUAACCACAUGAAUGCAGGAGUAGUUAUGUUAUUACCAAAAUAAUUGUCUGAAAUACGUCAGAGUAAAAAAUAAUACUAGGAAAAAAGAAAUUCAUUUCAUGAUGAUAAAAUAUAAUUCAACAAGAGGACAUAACAAUCCUAAUGUUUGUAUUUCUAAACAUUAUAACAGAUAACAGAGCUUCAAAGUACUUGCAGCAAAAUCUGAUAACACAGGAAGAAUAAACAAACAAAUCCAUAAUUAUAUCCAGAGAUUUCAACAGCACUCUUCCAAUAAUAAAUAGAACAAAGAGAAAAAAUCAAUGAGUAUAGAAGACUUGAAUAGCACAAUUAUUCAAUUUGACCUAAUCAACAAUCAUAUAUAUCUCUAUGCAACAACAGCAGAAUAUAUAUUAUUUUCAAGUGCACUCAGAAUCUUUGGCAGAAAGUAUUAAUAUAGCAUUAAAAUCCAAAUUA